UGGGGAAUCUUGCACAAUGGGGGCAACCCUGAUGCAGCGACGCCGCGUGAGCGAUGAAGCCCUUCGGGGCGUAAAGCUCUUUCGACCGGAACGAUAAUGACGGUACCGGGAGAAGAAGCUGCGGCUAACUACGUGCCAGCAGCCGCGGUAUACGUAGGCAGCAAGCGUUGUUCGGAGUUACUGGGCGUAAAGAGUGCGUAGGCGGUUUUCUAAGUUCGGUGUGAAAUCUCCCGGCUUAACUGGGAGGGUGCGCCGAAGACUGGGAAGCUGGAGUGUGGGAAAGGCAGGCGGAAUUCCUGGUGUAGCGGUGAAAUGCGUAGAUAUCAGGAGGAACACCGGCGGUGUAGACGGCUUGCUAGACCAUAACUGACGCUGAGGCACGAAAGCGUGGGUAGCAAACA
rnacentral:rRNA from 1 species